rnacentral:rRNA from 1 species
AGGCAGCAGGGGGAAAGGACAAGGGCGCAAGCCGACCAGCCAGCCGCGGAGGAGAAGGCCCAGGGGAAUGCCGGCGGGAAGAAAGACGGACCGCAAGAAAAGCCCCGGCAACC